GACGAACGCUGGCGGCGUGCCUAAUACAUGCAAGUUGAGCGAUGAAGCUUGGUGCUUGCACCAAUUUGAAGAGCAGCGAACGGGUGAGUAACGCGUGGGGAAUCUGCCUUUGAGCGGGGGACAACAUUUGGAAACGAAUGCUAAUACCGCAUAACAACUUUAAACAUAAGUUUUAAGUUUGAAAGAUGCAAUUGCAUCACUCAAAGAUGAUCCCGCGUUGUAUUAGCUAGUUGGUGAGGUAAAGGCUCACCAAGGCGAUGAUACAUAGCCGACCUGAGAGGGGGAUCGGCCACAUUGGGACUGAGACACGGCCCAAACUCCUACGGGAGGCAGCAGUAGGGAAUCUUCGGCAAUGGACGAAAGUCUGACCGAGCAACGCCGCGUGAGGGAAGAAGGUUGUCGGAUCGUAAAACUCUGUUGGUAGAGAAGAACGUUGGUGAGAGUGGAAAGCUCAUCAAGUGACGGUAACUACCCAGAAAGGGACGGCUAACUACGUG
rnacentral:rRNA from 1 species